rnacentral:misc_RNA from 1 species
GCUGAACUUGGGCCAAAUGUGCCUGCGUGUUCUACCACCUUGUGUGUACGACGCGCGCACCUAAUAAAUUAGUAUUGUCAAUAUUCUCCGGUGAACUCGAAUUGCGUAAACAGCCGAUCGGAUAUAAAAGAUACGAGGCAUUGGCCGGCCGUGGCACGGCGGUGGGAGUUAUCGUCAAGCUGAAAUCGUUUCGUGCAACCAUCGAUAAAAGAGAAAAUGUAACGUAUUCAAAUAAUAUGGAAAUACUUUCAAAUAUGCAAGGGAAAGUGAGGGAGAGGCGAGCUGAAAGAGUGAGAGCGUGUAUCGCGAAAUGAAGAAUUCCACGACGAAAGAAGCUAGAGUCAGGAUCACGUGACGAAUGCGUAAAUAGGAGGCAGUUUGUUCGAUGCGUAUGCUACCUUUUCUAUCGCACUCAUUGUCAGUGGCACGUGCUGCUACUACUGAAAAUCAUUAACGGCAGUAUAGUCGUUUCCCAGGCUUUUGUCCCCGCAUUCUCAAAAGAGGUAGUUUGGACGGUAAUUGGACGAGGCUUUUUAGAAGCAAGUUU